AGAAAUGAGAGUGUGGUCUCUAUGUUUAUUUUAUCAAAAUACUCCCUAUACUUUCGGGCACAUUUCU
rnacentral:tRNA from 1 species